GCGGUGGGUGCCUGGAACACGCUGCCAGGGUUGGUGGAGGAGGAUAGAUACAUUAGUGGCAUUUAAGAGGUGUAGAUUGGCUAUCGCAUGUUAGCCAAUCAGAAUGUUUAGUAAUUAUAACAUUCAUCGUGUAAGAUCCUACCCACUGUCUACCAGUUCGAGUCGCAGUGUGAACGUGUGAUGACCUGCUUAGUAGUUAAUGACCUGAACUAUAAAAUGUAAAGUUUUUCAACCUGUGUGAGUUUGGACUCUUUACAUGGUGUCAGAAAAACGGGCCUACCCCGCGUCUGUUUACCGCGAUUUAUUUCGUUUACCAGUUUUUAUUUGCGUGUUUUUUGUGAUUUGAGGACAUGGCUAACUCUUGUCGAAAGCCCACCCCGUUCGUGUUUGAUUCUGAUAUUGCCGAGCGAUGGCGAAUGUUUGAGAAGGACUACUCUCAUUAUAGCCGCGCCGUUCACCGAAACGAUCCCGACGAUUUGAAGGCUUCGCUACUGUUGAAUUUAGCGGGUCCGGAGGCUAUGAUUCGCACUGACUCGUUCGAAUUUGCACCUGCUCAACUGGAUGGGAAUGGCCAGCUAUUGGUGCCAGCGGAAUCUAUUGAUAACUCUAUGGUGUUGCUGAGGAAGUUUAGAGAACUGUGUGUCCUGAAUCCUUGGGAGAACAAGAUUUUUUGUUCGGAUGCAACAGGCUGACGAGCCUGUGGAACGAUUCCUCAGAGAGAUGAGACACAUCAACUCUCGAAGCAGAUUUGGUGAGUUGACUAAUGAGUUCGUUCGCGAUAAAAUUGUGGGAGGAAUGUGCGACCACAAGCUGCGAGCCGAACUGCUGCAGAAUGCAGAACUGACUUUAGAGUAAGCAAUUCAUGCUUGCAGGAUGGCUGAGACUGUGGCACCACUGGCUGAUUUUGAUAGCGCAAAUGCUAAUCAACAGUUGUAUGUGAAUUUGGCUAGUUAGUCUCCACAAAGAUUUCUCAAUGCAUCCUGCAAAGCUCAGAACAUGCCUAACACGAGGUGCACAAACUGUAACUAUUUCCACCCCAGGGGGCGCCAAUUUUGCGUUGCCCAUGGGGAAGUAUGUCAUAAUUGCAAAAAAUUCAACCACUUUGCUAAUUGUUGUCGAUCCAGUGGGAGUACAGUGCCAAGGACGAAGCUGCACCUGAUUCAAAAAGACCCGUCUGAUUCUGAUGAACAAGACGAAUCUUCCCACGGAAACGACUCUGAUAACACAGACACUGAGCCUACCAUACUUUCCCUAAACCUGCGCACCGCAGGCAAAGUAACUGAUCCUGCUGUGACCAUGGUAAUCAAUAACAAAGCCCUGAUCGCCAAAGUCGAUACGGCGCCCGCAUGAACGUCAUGUCACUCAAAGUGUUCAACAAGAUAAGAACCACUGAGCACAUGAAAAAAUACUCCUCCACUCUACAUGCUUAUGGAGGAGAAAUUCUUCAGACUCUUUACAAGAGGUUUUUAGAAAGGCAGAUGCUUAUGCAGGGAAUGGAGGGAUCUGGAUCAAACGUACAGGCAGAGAUUAGUUUAACCUGACAUGUUGUACACAGACAUUGUGGGCUGAAGGGCCUGUUCCUGUGCCCUACCUUUUUCAGUUCUGUAUGUCACACACCAUGUAUGAAUAAAAUACGGACAUUUCUUGGCUUACACAAUAGACGGCUUACUGUAUGUAAACUCGCACUUGCGUAAACAAUUCUGUACUUAGUCCCUAGUGUGACCGAGGCAGUUUGUAAUUUUCACAACACUGUACAAUCACUCAAGUUUACAUCUGAAAUAAGCCGGUAAUGGCGGCUGUACUUACCCAGAAGGCCAUGCGCCGCAGAAAGUGCCCUGGACGCCAAUGAAUGAGUCAGUUAAUACUCUGAGCGAAUUAUUUCAGGCAGGGGAUGGGGAUGGGAAUGGUGAUUCCGACUUACAUAAAAUCUGUCUUAAGUAAAGGAUCACGGAACCUAAUCGUUAUCCAAUUCGGGGAGUUUCUGUUCACUUCAUUGAUCGCCAUUUGGGUCCAAGUUCUGGAUUUUUGGGGUGGCACAGCAUCAUAGGAGCAGAGCUGCUGUCUUACAGUGCCAGAGACCCAGGUUCAAUCCAGACUGCAGGUGCUGUCUGUAUGGAGUUUGUACACUCUCCCUGUGACCGCACGUUUUCUCCGGGUGUUCCGGUUCCCCCCCACACGGCGAAGAUGUACAGUUUUGUAGGUUAAUUGACUUCGGUAAAAUUGUAAAGUGUCCUUAGUGUGUGUAGGAUAGCAUUAGUGUGCGGGGAUCACUGGUCGGUGUGAACUCAGCUGUUUUCGCGCUGUAUCUCUAAACUAAACUCAUUUAAACACCAUUCUCAUUUAACCACCAUUAAACUCUGAUCUCACCAGGGCGUAAAUAGACCGCUCCCUCCGCAACUCCCUUGUCAAUUCUUCCCUUCCCUCCCGUACCACCCCCUCCCCGGGCACUUUCCGUUGCAACCGCAAGAAAUGCAACACCUGUCCCUUUACCUCCCCCCUUGACUCCAUUCAAGGACCCAAGCAGUCGUUCCAGAUGCAACAGAGGUUCACCUGUAUCUCUUCCAACCUCAUCUACUGCAUCCGCUGCUCUAGAUGUCAGCUGAUCUACAUCGGUGAGACUAAGCGGAGGUUGGGCGAUCGUUUCGCCGAACACCUCCGCUCGGUCCGCAAGAACCUACCUGACCUCCCAGUGGCUCAGCACUUCAACUCCCCCUCCCAUUCCCAAUCCGACCUCUCUGUCCUGGGUCUCCUCCAUUGCCAGAGUGAGCAACACCAGAAAUUGGAGGAACAGCACCUCAUAUUCCGCUUGGAGAGCCUGCAUCCGGAGGGCAUGAACAUUGAAUUCUCCCAAUUUUGUUAGCCCUUGCUGUCUCCUCCCCUUCCUUAGCCCUCGAGCUGUCUCCUCCCAGCCCUCGGGCUCCUCCUCCUCCUUUUUUCCUUCCUUCUCCCCGCCAACCCCUAUCAGUCUGAAGAAGGGUUUCGGCCCGAAACGUUACCUAUUUCCUUCGCUCCAUAGAUGCUGCUGCACCCGCUGAGUUUCUCCCGAAUUUUUGUGUACCAGGGCGUAAAUACUGUUGUGUCUUCUUUAUUUAAUGUAAAUACUGGUUCUGUUCUGUUGUUUUGCACAACCCUGCAAGCAUUGUCACUUUCAUUUCACUGUACAUCUUGUAUGUGUAUGUGACAAAUAAAGUUGACCUGACUUGACAGGAGUGGCUCGACCAUGCAGAUUGCAGAAGUUUAUUCAACUAAUUUUGCCAAUUUAUCGUAGGCAAGUUUGAUUUGUUGAUGAAUGGUAGCAGCAGCUACAGCCAAAUCCAGCAAAUGAGUGGAAAACAACUGACUAAAAUCUCUGAUAAAGUGCCUGGGAGGUAUUCAAGGAUGAAGCAAGAAACAAGCUGUAACAGGAAUACUGCCCCGACUUGCAGCUUCUGCUUUCACAGUCAGAGUAAUAUCUAUUGGAUCCCUACAGACAAUUAGGAAGUGGAGCGGCAUGGUGGCACAGUUGCUGCCUUACAGCGCCAGAGACCCAGGCUCGGUCGAUCCUGAACACGGGCGCUGUCUGUGUGGAGUUUGUAUGUUCUCUCCAUGACCUGCGUUGGUUUUCUCCUGCUGCUCCAGUUUCGGCCCACCCUCCAAAGACGUACAGUAUAUUUAUCCUUGCACAUGGAGGCCGAUACCUGGAGCGACACGAUGGCGCAGCCCUAGAUUUGCCGCCUUACAACGCCACAGAUCCGGGUUCGAUCCAGCUGGCGGGUGUUGUCAGUUCAGUCCAGUUUACCGAGAUGCAGCGUGAAAACAGGCCCUUUGGCCCACCGAUUCUGUGCCGACCAGUGAUCGCCCCGAAAACUAGCACAUUCCUGCACACUAGGGACAAUAUACAAUUUUCAGAAGCAAAUUAAUCUGCAAACAUGUAUGUGUUUGGAGUGUGGGAGGAAACCAGUGCACCCAGAGAAAACCCGAGCAGGUUGCAGAGAGGACAUACAAGCUCCAUACAGACAUCACCUGUAGUGAGGGUCAAACCCGGGACUCUUGCACUGUAAGGCAGCAACUCCAUCCCUGCACCACUGUGCUGCCGAAAGUCUUUGUUUUUCAUUUCCCUUAUUCAAUAAAUAAUCUCCAUUAAACCACUCUGCUUUGUUCAUCUGUAACAACGUUUAGUGAUUUGUGAUUCUGUACACUGAGAUCACCCUAUACGCUGUGCUAAAUGUCUAAUUGCAUUUAGAUGUCCAAAGAGUACAUGGCCUCAUUCCAUCCAUCAAAACGUACUGCACCAAGAUUUCUACACUGAAUUUAAUUUGUCAAAUACCUGGCCAUGCUGUGUUCAUUCAUCCAUCCUUGCAUUUUAAUCACAGUCCUCAACUGCAUUAAACAACUUCUCCAUUACCUCCUCAAUCUGAAAUUGUACAUCUAACAGAGUCAAUAGACAAUAGGUGCAGCAGUAGGCCAUUCAGCCCUUCGAGCCAGCACCGCCAUUCACUAUAAUCAUAGGUAGACAAAAAUGCUGGAGAAACUCAGCGGGUGAGGCAGCAUCUAUGGAGCAAAGAAAUAGAUGACGUUUCGAGUCGGGACCCUUCUUCAGUCUGAUGUGGGGGUGUGGGGGCAGGAAGAAGAAAGGAAGAGGUGGAGACAGUAGGAUGUUGGAGAGCUGGGAAGGGGAGGGGAAGGAUGGGAGAAAGCAAAGACUACCUGAAAUUGGGGAACUCAAUGUUCAUACUGCUGGGGUAUUAACUGCCCAAGCGAAAUAUCAGGUGCUGCUCCUCUAAUUUGCAGUGGGACUCACUCCGGCCAUGGAGGAGGCCCAGGACAGAAAGGUCGGAUUGGGAAUGGGAGGGGGAGUUGGAGUGCUGAGCCACCGGGAGAUCAGGUUGGUUAAUGAGAACUGAGCGGAGGUGUUGGGCGAAGCGAUCGCCAAGCCUGCGCUUGGUCUCACCGAUGUAGAGCAGUUGACACCUAGAGCAGCGGAUGCAAUAGAUGAGGUUGGAGGAGGUGCAGGUGGAACUCUGCCUCACCUGGAAAGACUGCUUGGGUCCUUGGAUAGAGUCGAGGGGGGAGGUAAAGCGACAAGUGUAGCAUUUCCUGCGGUUGCAAGGGAAAGUAGGCAAUCGACAAUAGGUGCAGGAGUAGGCCGUUCGGCCCUUCGAGCCAGCACCGCCAUUCAAUGUGAUCAUGGCUGAUCAUCCCCAAUCAGUGCCCCGUUCCUGCCUUCACCCCAUAUCCCCUGACUCCACUGUUUUUAAGAGCCCUAUCUAGCUCUCUCUUGAAAGCAUCCAGAGAACCUGCCUCCACAGCAGAGAAUUCCACAGGCUCACCACUCUCUGUGAGAAAAAGUGUUUCCUCGUCUCCUUUCUAAAUGACUUACCCCUUAUUCUUAAACUGUGGCCCCUGGUUCUGGACUCGCCCAACAUCGGUAACAUGUUUCCUGGUUGGUCAACAGUGACCCACACAUGAAUAACUAUGGAAUACGACUUCCCACCUUCCCCCAUCUAGCCCUUACCCCAACCGUUUUCAGUUUUGCAGUCAAACUGUACCCAUGCUGCUCCGAGUUCCCAGGCUGAAUGUUUCUUGUUCUUGCAUCAAGAGUGAGAGCAUAAACAGAAGCAGCGGGCAGUCAUUUAGUCCCUGAUGCCUCUCCCUCAUCCAUCAGAUCAUGACUGAACCUUCCGCUCCGCACCAGUUUCCCGCACACACCAGGGACAUUUUACACUUAUACCAGGAAAAUGAACCUA